rnacentral:rRNA from 1 species
GGUGAACGCUGGCGGUAGGCCUAACACAUGCAAGUCGAACGGCAGCACAGUAAGAGCUUGCUCUUACGGGUGGCGAGUGGCGGACGGGUGAGGAAUACAUCGGAAUCUACUUUUUCGUGGGGGAUAACGUAGGGAAACUUACGCUAAUACCGCAUACGACCUACGGGUGAAAGCAGGGGAUCUUCGCACCUUGCGCGAUUGAAUGAGCCGAUGUCGGAUUAGCUAGUUGGCGGGGUAAAGGCCCACCAAGGCGACGAUCCGUAGCUGGUCUGAGAGGAUGAUCAGCCACACUGGAACUGAGACACGGUCCAGACUCCUACGGGAGGCAGCAGUAGGGAAUAUUGGACAAUGGGCGCAAGCCUGAUCCAGCCAUACCGCGUGAGUGAAGAAGGCCUUCGGGUUGUAAAGCCCUUUUGUUAGGAAAGAAAAGCAGCAGAUUAAUACCCCGCUGUUCUGACGGUACCCAAAGAAUAAGCACCGGCUAACUUCGUG